rnacentral:rRNA from 1 species
CUUUUUCUUUCCCGGAGCUUGCUCCAUCGAAAGAAAAAGAGUGGCGAACGGGUGAGUAACACGUGGGUAACCUGCCCAUCAGAAGGGGAUAACACUUGGAAACAGGUGCUAAUACCGUAUAACAUUAUUUUCCGCAUGGAAGAAAGUUGAAAGGCGCUUUUGCGUCACUGAUGGAUGGACCCGCGGUGCAUUAGCUAGUUGGUGAGGUAACGGCUCACCAAGGCAACGAUGCAUAGCCGACCUGAGAGGGUGAUCGGCCACACUGGGACUGAGACACGGCCCAGACUCCUACGGGAGGCAGCAGUAGGGAAUCUUCGGCAAUGGACGAAAGUCUGACCGAGCAACGCCGCGUGAGUGAAGAAGGUUUUCGGAUCGUAAAACUCUGUUGUUAGAGAAGAACAAGGAUGAGAGUGAAAUGUUCAUCCCUUGACGGUAUCUAACCAGAAAGCCACGGCUAACUACGUGCCAGCAGCCGCGGUAAUACGUAGGUGGCAAGCGUUGUCCGGAUUUAUUGGGCGUAAAGCGAGCGCAGGCGGUUUCUUAAGUCUGAUGUGAAAGCCCCCGGCUCAACCGGGGAGGGUCAUUGGAAACUGGGAGACUUGAGUGCAGAAGAGGAGAGUGGAAUUCCAUGUGUAGCGGUGAAAUGCGUAGAUAUAUGGAGGACACCAGUGGCGAAGCGGCUCUCUGGUCUGUACUGACGCUGAGCUCGAAGCGUGGGAGCGACAGGAU